rnacentral:rRNA from 1 species
AUUGAACGCUGGCGGAAUGCUUUACACAUGCAAGUCGAACGGUAGAGGGGGCAACCCCUCGAGAGUGGCGAACGGGUGAGUAAUAUAUCGGAACGUGCCCAGUCGUGGGGGAUAACGUAGCGAAAGUUACGCUAAUACCGCAUACAAUCUAAGGAUGCAAGCGGGGGAUCGCAAGACCUCGCGCGAUUGGAGCGGCCGAUAUCAGAUUAGGUAGUUGGUGGGGUAAAGGCUCACCAAGCCAACGAUCUGUAGCUGGUCUAAGAGGACGACCAGCCACACUGGAACUGAGACACGGUCCAGACUCCUACGGGAGGCAGCAGUGGGGAAUUUUGGACAAUGGACGCAAGUCUGAUCCAGCCAUUCCGCGUGCAGGAUGAAGGCCCUCGGGUUGUAAACUGCUUUUGUACGGAACGAAAAGGUCUCUCUUAAUACGGGGGACUCAUGACGGUACCGUAAGAAUAAGCACCGGCUAACUACGUGCCAGCAGCCGCAGUAA